rnacentral:rRNA from 1 species
GACGAACGCUGGCGGCGUGCUUAACACAUGCAAGUGGAGCGACGAACCAGGGCUUGCCCUGGGGCAAAGCCGCGAACGGGUGAGUAACACGUGAGUAACCUGCCCCGAUGACCGGGACAACCCGAGGAAACUCGGGCUAAUACCGGAUGUGGCGCACAGGCGUAAGCCUGUUCGCUAAAGGAAGCUUCGGCCUCCGCAUUGGGAGGGGCUCGCGGCCCAUUAGCUUGUUGGUGGGGUAACGGCCACCAAGGCAACGAUGGGUAGCUGGUCUGAGAGGACGAUCAGCCACACUGGGACUGAGACACGGCCCAGACUCCUACGGGAGGCAGCAGUGGGGAAUCUUGCGCAAUGCGCGAAAGCGUGACGCAGCAACGCCGCGGUGGGGGAA